rnacentral:rRNA from 1 species
CCUACGGUCGGCUGCAGUGAGGAAUAUUGGUCACUGUACGAGAGUCUGAACCAGCCAAGUAGCGUGAAGGAUGACUGCCCUAUGGGUUGUAAACUUCUUUUAUAAAGGAAUAAAACGAGGCACGUGUGCCUUUUUGCAUGUACUUUAUGAAUACGGAUCGUCUAACUCCGUGCCAGCAGCCGCGGUAAUACGGAGGAUCCGAGCGUUAUCCGGAUUUAUUGGGUUUAACGGGAGCGUAGAUGGGUUGUUAAGUCAGUUGUGAAAGUUUGCGGCUCAACCGUAAAAUUGCAAUUGAUACUGGCAGUCUUGAGUACAGUUGAGGUAGGCGGAAUUCGUGGUGUAGCGGUGAAAUGCUUAGAUAUCACGAAGAACCCCGAUUGCGAAGGCAGCUUACUAAACUGUGACUGACAUUGAUGCUCGAAAGUGUGGGUAUCAAACAGGAUUAGAUACCCGUGUAGUC